rnacentral:rRNA from 1 species
AGUGAACGCUGGCGGCGUGCCUAAUACAUGCAAGUCGAACGGAGUGGCGCACGGGUGAGUAAUAUAUAGCUAAUCUGCCCCUUGCUGGGGGACAACAGUUAGAAAUGACUGCUAAUACUUCAUAGCAAGGGAUGAGACUAUAUCGUAUCAGCUAGUCGGUGGGGUAACGGCCUACCGAGGCUAUGACGCGUAACUGGUCUGAGAGGAUGAUCAGUAAAAUUGGAACGGAGGCACGAUCCGGGCUCCUGCGGGAAGCAGCGGUAGGGAAUAUUGCGCAAUGGGGGUGAGCCAAACGCAGCAACGCCGCGUGAAGGAUGGCACUUUUCGGAGCGUAAGCUCCUUAUGUUAGGGAAGCGGUACCUAACGAGUAAGCACCGGCUAACUCCGUGCCAGCAGCCGCGGUAAUAC